rnacentral:rRNA from 1 species
CCUACGGGGGGCUGCAGUGGGGAAUAUUGGACAAUGGGGGGAACCCUGAUCCAGCCAUGCCGCGUGUGUGAAGAAGGCCCUUGGGUUGUAAAGCACUUUCAGUGAGGAAGAACGCCUGGUGGUUAAUACCCAUCAGGAAAGACAUCACUCACAGAAGAAGCACCGGCUAACUCCGUGCCAGCAGCCGCGGUAAUACGGAGGGUGCGAGCGUUAAUCGGAAUUACUGGGCGUAAAGCGCGCGUAGGUGGCUUGAUAAGCCGGUUGUGAAAGCCCCGGGCUCAACCUGGGAACGGCAUCCGGAACUGUCAAGCUAGAGUGCAGGAGAGGAAGGUAGAAUUCCCGGUGUAGCGGUGAAAUGCGUAGAGAUCGGGAGGAAUACCAGUGGCGAAGGCGGCCUUCUGGACUGACACUGACACUGAGGUGCGAAAGCGUGGGUAGCAAACAGGAUUAGAUACCCCAGUAGUC